GUAAGGAAUAUUGGUCAAUGGGCGAAAGCCUGAACCAGCCAUCCCGCGUGCAGGAUGAAGGUCCUAUGGAUUGUAAACUGCUUUUAUCAGGGAAGAAACGCCUUCAUUCAUGGGGGUCUGACGGUACCUGAGGAAUAAGCACCGGCUAACUCCGUGCCAGCAGCCGCGGUAAUACGGAGGGUGCGAGCGUUAUCCGGAAUCACUGGGUUUAAAGGGUGCGUAGGCGGGGAAUUAAGUCAGUGGUGAAAGCCUGUCGCUUAACGAUAGAAUUGCCAUUGAUACUGAUUUUCUUGAAUUGGGUUGAGGUUAGCGGAAUGUGACAUGUAGCGGUGAAAUGCAUAGAUAUGUCAUGGAACACCAAUUGCGAAGGCAGCUAGCUGGGCCUUGAUUGACGCUGAGGCACGAAAGCGUGGGUAGCGAACAGGAUUAGAUACCCGUGUAGUCC
rnacentral:rRNA from 1 species